GCAAGUCGAGCGGUAACAGAGAGUAGCUUGCUACUUUGCUGACGAGCGGCGGACGGGUGAGUAAUGCUUGGGGAUCUGCCCGGUCGAGGGGGAUAACCGUUGGAAACGACGGCUAAUACCGCAUACGCCCUACGGGGGAAAGCAGGGGACCUUCGGGCCUUGCGCGAUUGGAUGAACCCAAGUGAGAUUAGCUUGUUGGUGAGGUAACGGCUCACCAAGGCGACGAUCUCUAGCUGGUCUGAGAGGAUGACCAGUCACACUGGGACUGAGACACGGCCCAGACUCCUACGGGAGGCAGCAGUGGGGAAUAUUGCACAAUGGGGGAAACCCUGAUGCAGCCAUGCCGCGUGUGUGAAGAAGGCCUUCGGGUUGUAAAGCACUUUCAGUGGUGAGGAAAGGAGGUUGGCUAAUACCUGACCUCUGUGACGUUAACCACAGAAGAAGCACCGGCUAACUCCGUGCCAGCCG
rnacentral:rRNA from 1 species